AAGGGGAGUGCAGGAUCCUGGGCUGCAUCCUCUGGUGCCCUGGGAUCUGGGGCCUGUGCUGCUGGAAUUGCACUCCCGGCCGUGCAGCCCCUC
rnacentral:pre_miRNA from 1 species